rnacentral:tRNA from 2 species
GGAGAGGUAGCGUAGUCCGGCCUAACGCGCGCGCCUGGAGAGCGCGUGUGCCGAAAGGCACCGCGAGUUCAAAUCUCGCCCUCUCCGCC